GUGGAAAAUGUGGUGGGUGCUAGUGCUACAGCAUUAUCCAUUCUAUCUACUAUCAUUCUUCCCCAUCCAUCUGUCAUGUUGUUGUUGUUGUUGUUGUUGUUUACUGGGGGUUGUAGAUCCCUCUACUACUACUCUGCUCUGCUUGGGACCACCAACCCACUCUCCCACACUCGCACUUUCUCUCUCCCUCUCCCACACACACACACCCUUUGCCUUGGUUUCUUAGGCUUCCUCUGGCUCUCACACCCUCAUGGAAUCCAACCUUGGUUUUGAAUGGAAAAAACACUUUUUUAGAGAGAAAAACACAUGCACACAGAGGUUCUGAUGAAAAAAAAAAAAGGUAUGUGAAUUCCCUACCAAUCUAUGCAGACUUCAUGUAUGGAAGUGUACCAGUAGAUGUAUGUAGAUAUAAAUAUCAAAAGUAAGGAAAGUUGAGAUAUUUUCAGGGGACAAAUAUUAAAGAGAGUUAUUUGAAUUUAAAUACCAAAUUGAGAUAUUUUUGAGUUGGAAAUUAAUUGUGAUUUGCAUCAACUAUUUUUGUGCGAUGUGAUGAAAUUGUUUUUGCUAGUUAUGCAACAUUUAGACUCAAGUAUUAUUUCUACACUCAAGUAUAAAAUUUAAUUUCUCGCAGUUUAUUACAAUCAUUACCAAAAUUUUGAAAUGUAAAACCUAAACCUUUCAAUCCGAAAAAAGAAAAUCAAACACAAGAUGAACACAGAAAUAAAUAAGUAAAUAUAUAAACUCAUGGUUAAAAUUUUAACUUUUAAUAGGAAAUUGUUGUUCUUAUUCAUUUAAUGGGAAAUUGAAUGGUAGGUCACAGAUUCCCAUUCAAUAAAUAAGAACAACAAAAUCAAUUUUAAUAUUUCAUUUCAGAAGUAAGUGGAGGAAAUCGCAAUCAGGACGAACAGUUUUGAAUAAUCCAAAAUUUUAGCUGACAAUUACUACAACAUGCAAAGUGGAGGCUCCUCCUCCAAAGCCUUUAAUAUACACCUCUAGAGUUCCAUUCAUAACUCAAAAGUCUGAACGACCCAAACUUUCAUAACCAACAAGAAUUUCCUGCAAUUAUUCAUCUUCAUAACUAACCCAUUAAAUAAACAUAAAAACCUAUUCAUGAUUCAGAUGAAUUAUUCUCAAAAAGUUUACUUAUUCAAGACAGUAGAGUGCAGCACUUGAAUGUCCAAAUUAGAAAGAAAAAAAUAAAAAAAUAAAAACAAACAAAUAAAUAACUCUUUUUUCUUUUUCUUUUUCUUUUUUUUUUCCACUUAUCCACACAGAGACUGCCUUGCUGACUGCUUUUGCCUGCCUUUCCUGCCUUGCCUGGCAUCAAUCAGAAGCUAUACUCCAAUGCGCAAGAGACAGUAUAUUGUUGUUGUUGUUGUUAUAAUAGUAGUAGAAGUUGUGGCAAUAUGGACAGCAGAAUGUGGACAAGAACACCCUUCACAACUGGGGUGUGUGUGUGUGUGUGAGUUGAUGACUACUGUAGGUGAUGAAUAUCUGUAUUUACAUGUUUGUUCAACUCAAGGAUUUAAAGUAUUAUGUGUGUUUUGUUGGUGGGUGUUUGCUAACCUUGAUUAAGCUUAAGGGUGACCAAGGGUAACCCACAUGAAGAAACAAAGUGUGGUGUGUCAAAACACUAAAAGUACACAUGAAAGAAAAAGCAAAAAGAUUUUUUUUUGAUGAUGUUGCAUCUGACACCAUACAUGAUGAAAUCCACCACCUUGUGUGUAACAUGAUACCUCUCUCUUUUUUUCUUCUUUUUUCUCCUUUUUUUUGGUGUUUGUUGCGCACUCAGUGUUCUUCAAGCUGAAGAGGACAAUGGGUGCUAACAAACCCACUCCUCUCAAACUCAACUCCAUUGAUGAUGAUAAAUCCACGCAGCUGAACUUGGACAUUGUAUUGCAAAAGCACUAUUUCCUAGUUGUGGGAUUUCUAACCCUAAUUUGAGUGAGUUGGGACAGUGAGUAGUAAUCUCUCCUCUGGUGAGUGAGUGGGUGUGCAAGCAAGCAUUAUGAGAGGGAUAAUAGGUAUCAUUUAUUUUAUUUUCUUUUAUUUUUCUUUUUCUGCUAGUGAUGGCAAAACUGUGGUGGUUCUUGUGGGCUUGUGAUUCAAGAGCCAAGUGGGUGGCCCAUUUCCUUAAGUUAGGUCAAAGCAAGCUAAGCUAAGCAAGCACGCAACUGCAGAAGGGAAUGAAGGUACUCACAACUACUCAUGGUGAGUUGCAGAAUUGGCCCCCUACUUCCAUUCACAAGCAAGUAGAGAGGACAACGAUGAACUAGAAUUAAAAACCAGGUAUACAUUUAUAUAUAUAUAUAUAUAUAUAUAUAUUUGAAGUUGUUUGCAUCUCUUGAAGUCUCUCACUCGGACUUAUAUCAAAGGGAUAUAAUUUGCCACUAGAAGAAUAAGAAAAUGAUGUUUUUUUAAAAAAAAAUAAAAAAAUAAAAUUCUGGGUAGAGGCAUCCAAUGAAAGCAAUGAGUCCUUUUCUUGUUAUGGGGGUUGCCACUUUUGGUUUAAAAAGAAAAAAGUGGCUUGAUUUUGUUGUUGUUGUUGCUAUUCUUUCUUUCUUUUGUUCUUUUGUUCUUUUGUUCUUUUUUUUUUUUUUUUUGAAGAAUGAGAUUCAUUGUUUGCAUGUAAUUGUGAAGACAUUCAUGGCAUGGAUAUUCAUUGACCUCUUAUUGGGCCAUGUGAAGCUUUUGCAAAUAUAAAUUUUCUUCUUCAUCAUCAUCCUCAUGUGAUGCCCAUUACUGGAUGUAAGCUCUAUCUUAUAGGCAAUAUUGACAUGUGACAUGUCCCUUUGUAGAAUUUGUAUAAUUCAGGGAUAAUUAAUGCAUUAGGGAUUGUUAAUUUCAAGGGUUUGAAUUUUAAAAAAGAGUUCACUUCAAUACAUUCCAAAAUUGAUAGGAAAUUUGUUAUUGAUUCUCUCUUCCAAAAAUUCAAAGUCUUAGAGUUGCAUUGCAAUUUUUGUUAAAUGUAUGAUUUCAUGUAUAAUAUAUUAUUACUAAGUUUAAUGGUUUAACCUAGGAAUUCCUCUCAAUGUUAAGGUUUUUAGAGGACUAACCCUAGAAUCUCUCAACUAUGAGAAGAUUGGGUUUGUGCACUUCACUAAUGUUAAAAUUGGGGCUUGACCUUUUAGAGUGAAGUGAUUCUUACAUGUUAAUACAUAUUUGCCAAUGAUAAUCAACUAUGAUGCUUACUCAUGGGAAGUUUUGGAAACUACCUCUUAAAAGGAGCACCCUCAAAAAGAAUGAAGAUUCCUUGUUCACUUGUGGAUGAAAAAGAAUCUCUAUUUAAAGCAAAAUACAAAUCUAACAAAUGGUCUUAAUACAAAGGGCUUCUGGCAUUCACAAUGGAACUCAACCAAGCAAAAACUAUUUUUAAAUGGUGUGGGCCAAUACAUGGAAUAUUUUGUAAGUAGUGCACUUUGGAAUGUCAAUUGAUACAAAGUUGCAUAUCCAGCAUGAAACUAUGUGUCCUACCAAUUUACAUGCCACAUCAAAAUGACUUAUCAAAAAUCAAAAAAAUAUUGAUUCAGAUACAUUAUUUCACAACUACAUGAUAUGUGUUUCCAACAUGUAACUUACAAAUCACAUACCCAAACUUUCCUCACACCAAAGCUUUAUUAUCAGAAUUCAUUCAAACACAACAAUCUAAAUAAAUAAAUAAAUAAAAACAUCAUUCAUACAUGGAUGAGAUAGUUGUAUCAAUUUAAGAUAUUUUACACAAUACCCAAAUGACCAACAUCACAUUUAACAAAAUAUAGACAGUGAUAUCAUAUUUCAGUGAAAAAUAUGAAACCCAUUAUUCAUUUUCUUUGCAAAUUAUAUAUAUAUAUAUAUAUAUAUAUAUAUAUUCACAUACACAUAUUUUUUUAUUAAAGAAAAUACAAAAAAACUUACAGAAUAUUUUUACAAAAUUAAGAAACAAAUCACCCAGGAAAGAGCUGUUGGUGAGCUCUCCUUGUCAUGCCCAGCUUCUUCUUUGUGCAAACCAAGGCAAGCAAAGGUUGCCAUCCCCCUCCCCUUGUAAGCAAAUUUUAGUGAUCUAAACUUAAAACUCACUCUCACUCUCUCUCACACACAUAUACAACUGUACUGGGCCUCCAGUUCUGCCUCCAAUCCCCAGGUCUCUCUAGCCCUCGAUUCUCUCAACUCCCAUUCAAGUUUGUUGGCUGUGUCAGACGCGAGGCACAGACAUAAAACAAAAGAAAACUAAACUAAAUUAAAUUAAAUUACUAAGUCAGAUGUUGCCAAAAACUGGCGUUUAAACUCAUGGGAAGUGAAAGUGUGCAUGUCUUUUUUACCAUGUGAGCUAAUUGAGGAGAAUAUGUCAAUCAAAACCUUUUGUUUUCAGAGGUCUAGAAUGAUUCAAAGCUCAGAGAGAGAGAGAGAGAGAGAGAGAGAGAGGUAGCUUAUUUUCAGAAGAGCAAACUAACACCCAAAAUUAUGUUGGAGGUUCAAAUUUCUAGCAAUGAAAUCACAACCAUGCCCGAUGGAAGCCAACAGUGUAUAAAAAAAUGUAUAAAAAAUUUGUAUAGUUGGAGAGAUGUAGAUUGUGGUAGAAGGGUAUGUGUAUGGGGAUGUGGGGGGUUGUUGUAUGUGAGGGUGUGUGAGACAGAUGCAUGGCUUUGUGGUAAAAACAAAGUCACAAGGCAGAGAGAAUGGCAGUGGCCACAAGGCAAACAAACAGGACUUCUCUCUGUCACCAGCAGCACAAACAAACACUAACUGCUCUCUUGUGUAUACACAUGAUGCAGAGGUUUAUUUUUAAAACAAUUUUGUCACUCCCACGAGAAGGCUACAAAGGGGUCAAUACUAGGAGCAACUCUUGACCAGUUUGAACAGGACGACUCCUCAUUACCUUUUCUACCAUGUGGACAUGGGGAGUAAAUAUAUAUACCCAAUAUAUAUACAUAUAGUACGAGUUCUUUUCUAUCUUAUUUUAACUUUUGGGCUCAAACUUUGCAGCCCAAUUUCUGGUACCUAAACACAUGAUUUUUCAUGGUAUUCUGGUGCCCUAGUCCCUGUUUUGAUGCCCUACCAUUGCACGUAAUAGCAGACUUGGCUUCUACAACACGUAAAGAUCUUUUGCGGUGAUUCUCUUUGGCUCCCUCUUCAUCUGUUUAAUACAAGAUCUUGCAGGCUUUUUAUUGUGUGAACUUGAAGUGGUUGUAUGGACAAUAUGUUCCCAUCCAUUUCAUCCUCGUGCCCUAAAGUUCAUCGGUGCUCGAACCUCACAUCCCAAUUUGUUGCACCUAAAGCAAUCUUCAUGGUUUGUUUGUAGUGUCCUAAUCUUUACUUUGAUGCCCUAAUAUUACAUCUAAUUGUAGUUUUGUCUUCAUUGUUGAGCAACAUUUUGUGGAGGUGAUUCUCUUUAGUUUCUUCAAGGUGGUAUACUUUGCCCCUCUUUCUUGUUGUUGUAGCCAUGUGGUAUCUAUUGGGUCUUGGUUUCUUUUUGGUUGAGGCCCUUCUUAUGACUUUUCUUCUAAUCCUCAUUGUUAUCAUCAUGUAUUAAAAUUUCUUUUGUCCUCUUGAAAUUAUUGCUUCGAUUGUAGAAUCUCUUUGUGAUGAUAAAUUUUUAUUUUUUAAACUUUGGAGACUUUAGUUACAUUGUUUUGCAUGUAGAAUGCUCAUUCUUUAACAAUUUAAUUCAUGUGUUUUAAUUUUUUUUACUCUAUUUGAAAUCUAUACAAUUUGAUUAGUUUUGAGUGAAUAGUAAGAUUAUAUAAUGUUGUAUACAUGUGUAUACAAAUAUAUAUAUAUAUAUAUAUAUAGUAUUCUGAAAAAUGUAAUGGAUAGACAUAAAAUUGCUUUUCAAGUUCAAAAUCCUCUUUCAAAUCCUAUUGAUUUCAAUGACUAAGGCUUUAUCAAAGAAUUAUUACAAGGUCAAGACACAUCUUUGUUGUGGCAAUCAUGGUUCAUUAAAUUUUGUAAAAGCACAUUAAUGAUUUCUUACUAGAACAAGAAAUAGAGAAUAUAUAUAUAUUAUAGAAAAUUUAAGUUAUACAUUUAAGAGUUUUUUUAAGUAAAAAUCAUCUAUAAAUAAAUUUAUUAUUUGUAAACUAGUUGUAAUUUCUAAUCUUAAAAUUAUGUGUUAUAUACUAUGUCAUUUAUAAAUACUAUUUUUUAAC
rnacentral:lncRNA from 1 species